ACAGCUAGUUAUAGAGUGAAUAAUUCCAGAAUAGAUAUUCUUGUGCCUAGUACUUCUUGCCAAGUGGACAUAGAAGUUGUCCACCUUCACCAAA